rnacentral:rRNA from 1 species
AUUGAACGCUGGCGGAAUGCUUUACACAUGCAAGUCGAACGGCAGCACGGGGGCAACCCUGGUGGCGAGUGGCGAACGGGUGAGUAAUACAUCGGAACGUGCCCAGUCGUGGGGGAUAACGUAGCGAAAGUUACGCUAAUACCGCAUACGAUCUACGGAUGAAAGCGGGGGACCGUAAGGCCUCGCGCGAUUGGAGCGGCGGAUGUCAGAUUAGGUAGUUGGUGAGGUAAAGGCUCACCAAGCCGACGAUCUGCAGCUGGUCUGAGAGGACGACCAGCCACACUGGGACUGAGACACGGCCCAGACUCCUACGGGAGGCAGCAGUGGGGAAUUUUGGACAAUGGGCGCAAGCCUGAUCCAGCCAUUCCGCGUGCAGGACGAAGGCCUUCGGGUUGUAAACUGCUUUUGUACGGAACGAAAAGGCUCUGGUUAAUACCUGGGGCUCAUGACGGUACCGCAAGAAUAAGCACCGGCUAACUACGUGCCAGCCGCCGCAGUAA